rnacentral:lncRNA from 1 species
AUCGCCUGUGAUGGAGGCUGGAUGGAGCCUGAAUGCGGCAUUAACUGCAUAUCAGAGACCCUUUCAGAAGCCAAACAGGAUGACAUUUAUUGCAAGCUCGAUGCCGCGUGUCUGGCAUUAGUUACUGCUUGUUGUGUCCUGUGGAAUGUAGAUUUCCAGUCUUGGGAUCUUCCUGGGGCUUGAAGCAGCAGCUUCCUAUGUCAAGAGCAAGCUUGUGAGUGUGGGCUGAAGGGGAGAGGGGGAAGCCUUGGGAGAGGGCAGGGACCAGGCUUGCAGUGCUGCAGGCUGUCCCAUGCCUCUGCAGGUGGACCUUGAUGACACUGCCUUCCGAGGCCCCACAAGGAAUAACAGGGAUCCCCCCCCAAUAGUUUUUUGUGCCUUAAAUCACAGUUCAAUCUCCACACCAUCCUGUUUACCCAUUUUAAGUGUACUGAUCUGUGGUUUUUCUCUAUGCGCAGAAUGGUGCAGCCAUCCCCUCCGUCAUUUACAGAGCAUUUCAUCAACCAAGAGAACCCUCUUGCCCUUGGCCACCGCCCCAGGGCCGCCGCCUCUCCAGCCUUGAGACUACCACAUCUGCCUCCUCUCUGCAAGGAGCUGCCUCCCCUCUCACUUCCUAUUAAUGCAGUGGCACCGUGUUUGACUUUGUGGCUGGCAUCUUUCACUCAGCAUAAUGGUUUCCAGGUCCAUCUGUGUUCCUUCUCAUGGCUGAAUAAUAUUCCACUGUAUUCAUCAGUGGACCCCAAACACUUGUAAAACAUACUUCCUUUUUUAUCUUAAAAGAUACUCAUGAC